AGUGAACGCUGGCGGUAGGCCUAACACAUGCAAGUCGAACGGCAGCACGGUAAGAGCUUGCUCUUACGGGUGGCGAGUGGCGGACGGGUGAGGAAUACAUCGGAAUCUACUUUUUCGUGGGGGAUAACGUAGGGAAACUUACGCUAAUACCGCAUACGACCUACGGGUGAAAGUAGGGGAUCUUCGGACCUUGCGCGAUUGAAUGAGCCGAUGUCGGAUUAGCUAGUUGGCGGGGUAAAGGCCCACCAAGGCGACGAUCCGUAGCUGGUCUGAGAGGAUGAUCAGCCACACUGGAACUGAGACACGGUCCAGACUCCUACGGGAGGCAGCAGUGGGGAAUAUUGGACAAUGGGCGCAAGCCUGAUCCAGCCAUACCGCGUGGGUGAAGAAGGCCUUCGGGUUGUAAAGCCCUUUUGUUGGGAAAGAAAAGCAGCAGGUUAAUACCCCGCUGUUCUGACGGUACCCAAAGAAUAAGCACCGGCUAACUUCGUG
rnacentral:rRNA from 1 species